rnacentral:misc_RNA from 1 species
GGUUUUAGCACUUUUUUCCUGAGGACAAGCAGAACAAGUAUUCAAUUUAUACGAACAAGUUUUAAAAUACAACGUCACAUUUUGUUGAAAGUCUCAGCUUCGUGAAACGUUACCCACCUUUCCAUGAUGAACCUUGCUCUCUCUACUCAUCUGAAAUCAUUUUUGAUAGAAACAUAAGGUCUUUAUGGGAAUUCAGAAUAUCAAUGACAGUUUCAAAGGGCUGUGAGAACAAUGUUUUACUAAUUUAAGAGGGCUGGAUGGCCGUGGCCGUUUUUUAGACUUUAUAAAUCUCCUGAAGAAGAAGAGCUCUAUAUAAAGAUAUAGGAAAACAUUCUAACUCAACUUUAGUUAAAAUGGUCUUUCCUCAAUAAUUGUUUAUACAUGUAGCUUAACACAUCAUUUGUAAAAAAAAAAAAAAAAAAAAAUUAAGGUACAUCGGAUGGUUAACUUUGUUGACCCCCCCCCCCCCCCGGCCUCCUUAAAAGUUAUCAAUGCUAUUGGUUUAAAAAAAUUAACACGUUUGUAAAGCUGAUUAAAUCGUUUUACAAGGAAUGCGCGAAAUUUUAUAUACUAAGAAUAUAAUGGAUAGAAUGCAAUGGUGUAUUGCUUUAACAUACUAUAUACAUGUACUUGUUUGGAGCUAGUAAGUAUAAAUACAUGUAUCAAAUAUAUAUAUGUAAUAUUUAUUAUGAAAUAAAUAUCUGGUAGUCAAUAAUGUAUGAAUAAUUACAGAUCGUUCAUGGCUGUACCAUUUCUAACGUAUUGUGUUUUUUGUUUGUCGUUAACGUGUAAUAUUUGCAUAAGCGAAUAUGUGUUUAAAAAAGGGUUUACAAUUACAGUUCAAUCAGUUUAAAUUGGAUGGUUACGGUUUGAGCUGAAAAAUUUCAAAUUGUUUACAUACUAGUAACAAAAGAUUCUUGUAUGUUACUAACUAGCUCGAAAACUGACUGUCAUGUUCUGGUUGGCUAAUAUUUUAAAAAUUAUAACUCUCUUAACUAUUAAAUACGGCCAUGAAAAAAUAAUGAUUUUAAAUUUCAGCUCAAAUCGAUAAAUGCACCGUUCAAUGACGAAAGAAUUGUUGCAAUCAGUAUAUCAGUAUAUGGAAGUGUAUGUUUUAAUAAUAAAUCUUGUUCUAAUCAC